rnacentral:lncRNA from 1 species
GUUCUUCCUCUCCUAUGUAAAAUCCCUUGGGAACUCAUUGUCUUCUUGCACUUGGCUAGGUUAAAAUGGUGAAGACAUCUUCUGGGACCUACAAGGUCAAAGCAGAUGACGUUGUUUGUGCAUCUGGCUAUAGCUACAUACACAGAUGCCUCCCAGCCACCCCCUGCACCUUCAGUGACCACUACAUGGCUUUGGGUGGUGAGGGUUGUCUUCUGGAGCUGCCAACUGUCCCUUUUCAGGAGCCUCUUCUCCUGCCCGAUAGACUUGUACAAUCUCGGUAAAUUGCAAUCUGUUUCGUAGUCCCGGAUUUUGGUGGGGGGUCCAAAUCCAUUUUUUGGGAGCCUCCCAGAUUUGGGAGGACAGAAAUCUAUUUUGAUCAGGGACAAAGAUUCAUUUUCCAUUCGGCCCAUUAUGGAGGGGGCUUCCCAGGCUCCGCUUCCUGUCAUUUUAGGCAUUGUUUGUCCUUAUGUCCUUCAUUAAGACCUGGAUUAAAAGCAUCAGAGUUAAGAUACUUUCUGCAAUCUUUUUCUUUCUGUAAGUUAAUGCUGUUUUUACUCUACAGGAGAAAGGCAUGCAUGGCGCUCCCUCCCUCCCUGUAGCAUGCAGCUUUCCAAGGCAUUUUAAGGAGGCUUGGAUCCCCACUUCCCAGAGCCGGGAAGGAAGAACGAUCAGUGUGGAGCAAUCCUACCCUGGGCUUCCUUUAAAAAGCUCCCCUUUUAUCUAGAUUUGCAGGCCCAGGAGUGGUGCUUUGCCUUUUGCCUCAUGCUUUUCCUUCUAGUGGCUGUCUCCCAUCCGCACUCCAUUUUUAACGAAGGCUGCCAGUUUUUGAGAGCCACUGUUCUGUUGCAGCCAAAAAAAAAAGGAGGCUGAACCCUUGCCGUUACAGCCAACUGAGCAAGCUGGACAAGUCGAAUUAGCCAAAGGGAACCAGCCACUCCGAAUCCAUGCACAAGUCUAUUGCCUGAUAUAUACACUGAAUGUAAAGUGGGACACACAAUAUUCAUCAAUAGCUGUUCCUUUGUAGUUCUUUAGGUUUCUCUGAGAUGACCAUUACUUGUGUUUAAGAGACAAAGGGGCAUGGCAAUGUCCUGCCAUGUUUCCUGCAAAAUGAUAGAUGGCAUGUAAAACCCAAUGAGAUGCUAACCGGUUUCAUAAAAAAAUAUCUCCAUCACCCCUCUCAUCCAUCCUCAAGUGACAUCGUAUACUGGCAAUUCAUCUAAGUAAAAAAAAAAAGAUGAGAGAAUUAAUUUAAAUUGGUUCCUUUUUUGCAGUGUUCGCACUGCAGUUCCUUAGCAUCUGAUUUUUCUUAUUAAAAAUUCUCUUUAAUAAGAGAAAUCAGGAUUUUAUGUCCCUAAAUGAAUGUGUUAAUGAGUUUAAUCAACUCACAGUUCUACUGCAAUGUUUAAGAUGUCCUUAUGUUUCAUUUCCGAACCAAAUAUUAAUGAAGUUGUUUGCCUGAAGGAAUGCGGGAUAAACAUUGAGGAAAAAUUGCUCUCCACCCAGUGGGGUAGUCAAUGAAUGUCUUUAUAUGAUUUACCUUUCAAACAAUUUAGAUAAUGGGCGUAGUCUUUAACGGAUGGGAUGUUAACCCAGCUUACUUUGAUAAAUUUCCUUCUAAUUCUGUUCACUCAAGAGAAAAAAAAUCAGACAUACAUGUUGAACUUUUAUACCUCUCAUUCUUUACAAUAUUUAGAUUUAUUUAGUACCUAUUAUGUGAGCUGAAAACGGACAUUCUUCCCCUAUAAAGGGAUAGUUGAAGCUGGGCAAUCAAAAACACAUUAGAUGUCUUUGUGCGCCUUUGGAAUCAAUACUAUUUCAAGCAAACUCUGAAGUAUACCAACUUUGCCUAAAGCAGGGUACAUUAAGGUUAAAAUGAAAACCCCCUGGAUAUUCCCCAGAAGCCCCUGUGCAUUAUGAAAACUUCCAGUGGUUCAUUUGCAGUGAGUAUGGGUAUUUUGGCCCACGUGUUUCCUAAAUUUUUCUUUCUAGUUUAACCCACCUAUUUUCUUCCUGUCAAAUUUGUACAAUAUGUAGAUUGAGGGCAGUAUGUGCUCUUCCCAGCCUCCUAUAUUGGAUCUUCAAAGUGCCUGAAAGUUUCUGCUGUCUCUUCCUGCUUUUGUUUCUGAGUGGUUCCAGAUGAAGCUUUAAUCAUGCCAUCCUUUUGCUUUUUAUUCAUUGAAUUUUACAGGGGCUUCACACAAUGUUACCCCUUCACACACAAUUACUAUAUUCUAUUCUACUCCCUUCCAUUCCUCUGUCUUUUUAAUUGUGUACAAUCUACUAUGAAUAAAAUUAAGAACCAGCUCCUUCCAACUAGUAGUAUGAAGAACCCUCUGGAAAUACCCUCCAUCUGAAACAAUAAGAUAAAGGACUAGCCUUUUUCACACUAUUAUUUAACACUAUGAUUUCAUUUUAAAUGCCAUAGCUCAAUUCUGUGGAAUUUUGAGGAGAUCUUUGUAGUUUGGGGAGAUCUCUAGCUCAGAAUUCUAAAUACUCCCUGAAUUACAAAUCCCUGAAUUUGUAGGAUGGAACCAAGGCACAUAGAGUAGAAUCAUAGGACCUCAUCACAUGAAAGUAGGGAAAGUAGGGAUAAGUGGGGGGGAAAGCAGAGGGAACAUCUUCUUUCAUACUCUAUCAUCGAGGUCCUGUGCCUUUCAAUCUUCAUGGAUGGAAACCAUUCCGUCCAUUCCUCGUCUUUCCAAACUUCUAUCCAGCUUCUCUCUAUCUUCUGUUUUUGGGAGUUGGGUUGCACUGGAUUCCUGAAAAUGCAGUCUUCCCUCUAUUUCCCUGUGCUGCUACAAUGGAGCCCCACAGGCAACCAUUGGAAGUGACCUUGGACCAUGUGAUGGCCUCCGUGGGACUUCGGCAGCGCACAGAAACAGAUAUGAUGAAGAGAAGAAUGUGUGGGAUGAAGUCCAUAGUGUUGUAGUUGUACAGUGUGAAAAGGCUCACGGUGCUACUUUUCUUCUGCACUCUGAUCUGCCCCAUUCUUUUGACAGUUCUUCCAUUUGAGAUACACCAGAAACAAUUAUUUAUCAACAAACCAUUUUGUGGCUAUUAGAUCCUAUAAAAAUACAUCCGUUAAGGACUUAUUAAGUGGGAAUAAUAAAAAGAAAUAUGUUUGGCCACAAUAGAGCAACUUAAGUCAAUAAAUACGUCAAUUAAACAAAACUGACUCUUAAGCAGAUAGCACAAAUAGCUACUCUUGGUUCUUUUUAUUGCCCCUUUUGUUUUGUUUUUUACAAGGCAUUAAUGCAGUUUUUUAUUUUGCUAUGUAAAUGAUGAAUGAUGUCUCUUGGGCCACUGAUAUGAAACAGCUUCCCCACUAAUGUGAGGAGGAGUAUUUGCUUCCCAUAGAUUGGAAUAGACAAUAAACACACAGCUCUCAACACCCCAGCCCACCUGCUACGAAUAAAUGAGAUGGAUUAAAUUUAUUAUACAGUUGAGCAUUCAUAUCUGGGAUUCCAAAAUCCUAAAUACUCCAAAAGCCAAAAU